rnacentral:misc_RNA from 1 species
GAUGAAGAACGUAGCGAAAUGCGAUACGUAAUGUGAAUUGCAGAAUUCAGUGAAUCAUCGAAUCUUUGAACGCAUAUUGCGCUCUCUGGUAUUCCGGAGAGCAUGCUUGUUUGAGUAUCAGUAAACACCUCAACUCCCCUUUCUUUUUUUGAAAUGGGAGCUGGACUUGAGUGAUCCCAACGCUUUUCUCACCGAAAAGUGGCGGGUUACUUGAAAUGCAGGUGCAGCUGGACUUUUCUCUGAGCUAAAAGCAUAUCUAUUUAGUCUGCCUAAAAAACAGAUUAUUACCUUUGCUGCAGCUAACAUAAAGGAGAUUAGUUCUUGUGCUGACUGAUGCAGGAUUCACAGAGACAGCUUCGGCUGGCCUUUGUAAACUCGAUCUCAAAUCAAGUAAGACUACCCGCUGAACUUAAGCAUACAAUAAGCGGAGGA